CCUACGGGGGACAGCAGUAGGGAAUCUUCCACAAUGGGCGCAAGCCUGAUGGAGCAACACCGCGUGAGUGAAGAAGGGUUUCGGCUCGUAAAGCUCUGUUGUUGGAGAAGAACGUGCGUGAGAGUAACUGUUCACGCAGUGACGGUAUCCAACCAGAAAGUCACGGCUAACUACGUGCCAGCAGCCGCGGUAAUACGUAGGUGGCAAGCGUUAUCCGGAUUUAUUGGGCGUAAAGCGAGCGCAGGCGGUCGCUUAGGUCUGAUGUGAAAGCCUUCGGCUUAACCGAAGAAGUGCAUCGGAAACCGGGCAACUUGAGUGCAGAAGAGGACAGUGGAACUCCAUGUGUAGCGGUGGAAUGCGUAGAUAUAUGGAAGAACACCAGUGGCGAAGGCGGCUGUCUGGUCUGCAACUGACGCUGAGGCUCGAAAGCAUGGGUAGCGAACAGGAUUAGAUACCCGGGUAGUC
rnacentral:rRNA from 1 species